rnacentral:rRNA from 1 species
CAGUCGCCGCGGGAAUACGUAGGGUGCGAGCGUUAAUCGGAAUUACUGGGCGUAAAGCGUGCGCAGGCGGUUCGUUAAGACAGAUGUGAAAUCCCCGGGCUUAACCUGGGAACUGCAUUUGUGACUGGCGAGCUAGAGUAUGGCACAGGGGGGUAGAAUUCCACGUGUAGCAAUGAAAUGCGUAGAGAUGUGGAGGAAUACCGAUGGCGAAGGCAGCCCCCUGGGCCAAUACUGACGCUCAUGCACGAAAGCGUGGGGAGCAAACAGGAUUAGAUACCCGGGUAGUCCCUGUCUCUUAUAC